GACGAACGCUGGCGGCGUGCUUAACACAUGCAGGUCGAACGAUGAAGCUAGAGCUUGCUCUGGUGAAUUAGUGGCGAACGGGUGAGUAACACGUGAGUAACCUGCCCCGAACUCUGGGAUAACUGCUGGAAACGGUAGCUAAUACUGGAUACGACCUACGAAGGCAUCUUCUGUAGGUGGAAAGAAUUUCGGUUCGGGAUGGACUCGCGGCCUAUCAGCUUGUUGGUGAGGUAAUGGCUCACCAAGGCGACGACGGGUAGCCGGCCUGAGAGGGUGACCGGCCACACUGGGGCUGAGACACGGCCCAGACUCCUACGGGAGGCAGCAGUGGGGAAUAUUGCACAAUGGGCGCAAGCCUGAUGCAGCAACGCCGCGUGAGGGAUGACGGCCUUCGGGUUGUAAACCUCUUUUAGUAGGGAAGAAGCGAAAGUGAUGGUACCUGCGGAAAAAGCACCGGCUAACUACGUGCCAGCAGCCGCAGUAA
rnacentral:rRNA from 1 species